rnacentral:rRNA from 2 species
UACGUAGGUGGCGAGCGUUAUCCGGAAUUAUUGGGCGUAAAGGGUGCGUAGGCGGCCUGUUAAGUAAGUGGUUAAAUUGUUGGGCUCAACCCAAUCCAGCCACUUAAACUGGCAGGCUAGAGUAUUGGAGAGGCAAGUGGAAUUCCAUGUGUAGCGGUAAAAUGCGUAGAUAUAUGGAGGAACACCAGUGGCGAAGGCGGCUUGCUAGCCAAAGACUGACGCUCAUGCACGAAAGCGUGGGGAGCAAAUAGG